GCACCUGAUCGUACACAGGGGGAAGCUAAGGCUUGUAGAGUCCGUGAGGGCGAUUUCAGAUCAGCGGCAGAGCGCACGUUCUGUACCUGUACUGUCUGACAGUGGGAGCAACACCUCUCCACCUCUCCAGCAUGAAAAUCAGGUAUCACAGCACGAUUAAAACAAAGAUUCAUGAGUUUCCAUGUUGGAGGGUGAUCAGAGAGAAUGCCACUGAUCCUUCCUGACUGUGACCUUGUGUUGCCAAAGGGAUCGAACUUGGGACCUUGCGCUUGUGAGGCAGGCACCAGAACCACUGAGCUAAAUCCCCAGCCCAGAAGAAACUGCUUUCUACUAAGUAAGCUGAAAUACAUCUAAGGAAGGCUGUCUUUUUCACCUACUUGGUUACCCAGAGCCACAUUCAUAGAGGAAAGCAGGCGGUGAAACCACUGAGCUGAAUCCCCGGCCGGAGAGGACCUUGACUUUUAAGAAGUCAUACUCAGUGUCCAUAUCACUCACCAAGGCUGAAGCCAUGCUGGAUGAAUGUAUGUGCUAAAAAUCACACAAAGGUUCACAGCAAGUGUGCACAGGUCUGUCUGCGAUUGCAAUCUUGACUAGAGGAAGCCUCAACCAUGUAUCAGAAUGGGGAAGAUGGCCACAUUCUUGUUCAUGCUCAGAAGAUGGCUGCAGUAGUGUUCAUAGCCCAAUGUGGAGUUCUGGCCAGUGUAUUCAAAGAUGCAGCGUACUCCCUUCAUUUGAUGUACUGCAUUUAUUAUUUUGCAGUGCUGAGGAUAGAACCCAGGGCCUUGUGCAUACUAGGCAAGCACUGUACCACUGAGCUACACCCAGCCCUGUCUGGCUUUCCUUUCAUUAGGUCCCUAAAGUAGUCAAAUGCCUAGAGACACAACCCUGAAUGGCGAUUUCCAGGGGAUGGGGGAAUGGAAGUAGUGUUUGAUGAAUGGAAUUUUGGUUUGGAAGGAUGAAAAAGUCUGGAGAUAGAUGAUGAUGAUAAUUAUACACAAUGUGAUAUAUAUGUUAAAAAUGGUGAAAAUGGUAAAUUUUAUGUUAGGUAUAUUUUAUUAUAAUUCAAAGUGAA